rnacentral:rRNA from 11 species
UGAGAAAGUUAGAUGUAAAUGAAAUUAUCCCACCUGAUCUUAUAAGCUAAGGAGGAUCACACCUGGAUUAGUACUUGGAUGGGAGACCACAAACAAAUACUAGAUCCUGCUGUCUCUA